rnacentral:lncRNA from 1 species
AAAAUUCUAUUUGCUACCUAAAUAAAGAUUAAUAACUCCGAUCUUAAAUUGAAGGAUCCGAUCAUCCAUUUUUAGGAUGUCGUUCGAUUUUGACCGUUCAUUUUAUACCCGCUUGAUGGACUUUAUAAUGAUUUCGAAAAAUUACGAAAUUUAUUUUUUAGAAGUUUCAAAUACUCUAGAUCAUAUUUAACGGAGUGGAUCGUCGAUUUGAAAACCCCAACAUCGAAAACAACUUAUAAGUACGAAGGGCACUAUACUCAUAAGAGUAUAGUAGUCUUACUCUCUCUCUCUCUCUCUCUCUCUCUAUAUAUAUAUAUAUAUAUAAGAGUCCGGCUACUAUACUCUUAUGAGUACGAUCGCCUUCGUACUCAUAAGUUAUUUUCGAUGAUAGAGCUUCCGAAUCGACGAUCCAUACCGUUAAAUNAAUAUUAUCUAGAGUACUUAAAACUUCUAGAAAUCAAAUUUUAGAAUUUUUCGAUAUUAUUUACCUUACGAUCAAAAGCUCACAAAAUUGACAAUUUUUAACGGCCAAUAUGAGAUAUUUGCUAGUUUAACAGUGAAAAAGAAUCUAAAUUGGUUGAAUUUUUGAUAGAAAAUUCUAUUCACUACCUAAAUAAAGAUCAAUAACUCCGAUCUUAAAUUGAUGGAUCCGAUCAUCCAUUUUUAGAAUGUCGUUCGAUUUUAACCGUUCAUUUUUUAUCCACUUGAUGGACUUUAUAAUGACUUCGAAAAAUUACGAAAUUCAUAUAUUUUCUAGAAGUUUCAAAUACUCUAGAUCAUGUUUAACGGUAUGGAUUGUCGAUUCAAAAAUCCUAAUAUCGAAAACAACCUAUGAGUACGAAGGGCUCUAUAGUCAUAAGAGUAUAGUAGCCCUACUAUAUAUAUAUAUAAAUUUGAGCUUCUAUAUUUUUAAAAGCACCAAGUCAUUGAUAUUUAUAAUUUUUGGAUUUUGGGAUGAAGAUUUAUAGGGCUGGGAUAAUAAUGGUCUCCUAAAGUGAGUGAUUGGUAAAAUAGUAUAAUCUAAAUAGUGGAAUUGACCAAAAAUAUAUAUCUAACGGUAAAAAACUUACAAUCAUAAAAUGCUUAGUGCUUUUUUAAAGCACCAUAACCGCAC